CAGAGAAGAUUAGCAAAGCUUUAGUUUUUAGUUUUAGCUUAAAACAACAAUGACAAUAUAUAGUUUGGUUUCUGUUCUGUUAUUUGGUGUCUUAUGCCCUUCCAGUAGGUUCGUAGAUUACAUCUGUUUUAUCAUAUGCGUCCAAGUAGAGAUGUUGUGGUGGGUAAAAAGGCUCAGCCCGACCUGAAUCCAAAAUAAACCCGCCCACCAAAAACCCAACUUUAGAAAACUCAUAUGGGUUUUUGAUUUAGUGGGUAAAGCCCGAAAAAAACUGAUUGUUCUGAGACUACUCAUGGGUACCCAACUUGGUUUUUAUCAUUUUUUUUAAGUUUAUGUUUAACUGUUAAUACACUAUUAUAUGUAUGUUGUAUAUAUAUUUUGCUUAUAAAUAUAUUUUAAAUUAUAUU
rnacentral:sRNA from 1 species